rnacentral:lncRNA from 1 species
UUUUCUUCCUGUUUCACAUUAUCUGUUACACAUUUUGAUUCUUAUUUACACUUUCAGUUUCUCACACCAGAGAAGCUAUUUGGUAUUUACAUGUCGGGACAGACGCAUUUAAACAGGGACCUGAGGGCCCGAGGAUUUAGCUCAGAGGUUUCGCUGCCUGCUGAGCAAGCGGAAGGACCCGAGUUCGAUCCCCGGUACCAAAAAAAUAAAAUAAAAUAAAUAAAUAAAUACAUAGGGACCUGAAAGCAACAAUUAACUGGUUGGAGAGGUUAGAUGGGAAGUGGAGUAGAGUACAACAGGCCCAGGAAACAAUUCUUGAGAAACCCCUAACGCAACCCUGCAAGCUACAGCAGUGAGAACAAGGAGACAGAAUUCUCUGGAAGCCAAGGAUUUCCUGACUUCUGAUCGUGUGAGCUAUACGGACCUCAGCCCUGCCAACUAGGGACUUCACACUACACUGGCCAGAGGUAACUUCCUGACAGAGAAACCACACCCACCAAAUAUUCCGCAGGGCCCCCAAACACAGGAGAGGGAAGGAGAGGGGCUGGCGAGGGGUCAACAGCGAGCAGCUUUCCCAGCGGAGCAGGAAGAAGCCAAAAAGGCUGGGGUGGAAGAGACCGUGAAAAAGUAACUACCGUCACGUGCCCCGUACCAAAGCUGGGAACUUGGGCGAGCAAUUACCAUUCCCGACUCUGCUUCCAGGUGGGUGUCAUCAGCCCCAUUUUUCAGGUGAGAAAACCGAGGUUUGGUGACUUCCCAGGGCGGGGCAGGGAUGUGUCUAUGACCGCAGCGUCUCCUCUGGGGCCCUCACGACCCGUAAAGUACGAGGGGGAACAAGCAUCGUGUGGGAGAUGCCGCAGCUUUCCAAGCGUCCACGGCGUGAGUGCACUUCUCGGCGACAGCUGCGUCUCCCUGGUCGCGUCAGUACUGAUUAAUGUCGCUUUCCUUUAAGGGACUUCCCUCGAAUAUGAAAUCCUCACCACACAGGUCCCGGGCACUUCUCCCUCUCCCGCACUGAUGCCCGCUGGUGACACCAGUUCUCCUUCACUGGCGAGUGCCCGCUUGGGACUACAUUUCCCUACAGGCCGUCCAGAAAGGUGGCGCGGAGAGACUUCCGCUUCCGGCGGCUCGCAGUGCGGCUCGUCCGCGGUGCCCGUUUCUGCAGCCCACGUGCUCUCCCGCAGCGCUCAGGAGGGACUACGUCCCCCAGCAGGCGUUGGCGCACAGGGCGAGUGGCGGCCACCAUCUCUGUUGUAGUCCUUCUCCGCGUUUCCGCAGGGAAUGCCGUAGCGCCCGGACUACAAUUCCCAAGUCGCCGCCCCUUUCCUCUGGCCACCAUCUUGCUGCAGUCCCCGCCCCGGCCCUCCCGGCCAUUGUCUCCGCUGAGGCGCUGAGGCGGCGGGAAGACUGCAACUCCCGUCGGGCUUUGCGCCGCCGGGUGCGGGAUUUUGAGAGGCGGGCGAGGCACCCAAG